rnacentral:rRNA from 1 species
UACGUAGGGGGCAAGCGUUGUCCGGAUUUAUUGGGCGUAAAGAGCGUGUAGGCGGCCAGGUAGGUCCGUUGUGAAAACUCGAGGCUCAACCUCGAGACGCCGAUGGAAACCAUCUGGCUAGAGUCCGGAAGAGGAGAGUGGAAUUCCUGGUGUAGCGGUGAAAUGCGCAGAUAUCAGGAGGAACACCGGUGGCGAAGGCGGCAUCCUGGACCAACACUGACACUGAGGAGCGAAAGCCAGGGGAGCAAACGGG